GCUGGGAUAGUUCAGUUGGUAAAAGCAGGAGACUCUUAAUCUCAGGGACAUGGGUUCGAACCCCAUGUUGGGCA